rnacentral:rRNA from 1 species
UACGUAGGGGGCGAGCGUUGUCCGGAAUCAUUGGGCGUAAAGCGCGUGUAGGCGGCCCGGUAAGUCCGCUGUGAAAGUCCAGGGCUCAACCCUGGGAUGCCGGUGGAUACUGUCGGGCUCGAGUCCGGAAGAGGCGAGUGGAAUUCCUGGUGUAGCGGUGAAAUGCGUAGAUAUCUGGAGGAACACCGGUGGCGAAGGCGGCAUCCUGGACCAACACUGACGCUGAGGAGCGAAAGCCAGGGGAGCAAACGGG